ACACCAUUGCCAAGAAAAUUAGAGAGAAAUGGAUGUAUUUAGAAUAAAUAAAAAAAGUGUUCCUUUACAACAAGAUGAGCUCCUGGUCGAUCUGUUUCUCCCAGAACAUUUAUUGGCAAUUUAUGGCAUACUACCCAACAGGAACUUUGUGUACACCUCCUCUGUGUGUGAUUAUCAAUCUGGUCACGUCCUGCCUUAUAGAAGAGUUUGGGGAAAAUUUAUGAAGGCAGAAUGUUCUAUAUCACCUCAGUCCCACCCGUCACCAGGCUCAAAAAAACCGCCUUUGAGGAGCUCUGCAACCAAGUGUCCAGUGAUAAGCCCCCUGCCCACGCAGCUGCGUCUUUUCUCCUGUCUUUGUUGCCCAACACCGUCUGUGAGACUACCAAAACACACUGUGCGCUGGAGAACCCUGGCUACAUCAGAGGCUCAAACCCACCCACGUGUCAAACACAGCCAGCCACGGAGACACUGCCCUGUAAGAACAGGAGGACAGAAAGGCAGCCCAGGACAGAGUACAGUUGGAAAUUGCUCCACCAUGUUGAGAAUGGUGCUCCCUACUAUGUUGAAGAUACCCAUAACCCCAUAGAGGCACAACAUAUUCAUCAGAAGCUAUUAACAGUCAUGACUGGAGACCCCCCCGCCAAAGCCCCAACUGACAUAUUUUUAAUGGAUACUGACUUCCUCCACGCUGUUCAAAAUAGAUUCAUCGACUCAAUUGAUCUCCCUGGUGUCAAAGAUGGUGGUUUGAAUAUUUUUCAGAAGUUUUCCAUCUUCAUCACUUAUGAUGAGACCACUAAACAUUUAUAUGAAAUUUUCCUAGACUCUCUAAUCACCCUCAGAAGCAAAAGCUCCAAAUAUCCUGCUUGGCUUAUGGCAUACUAUCACGGGCCUUCCUUUCAGGGGGUGUGGUUAGAUAUUGUAAAUGCCACUGCAACUGGAGAGGUAUUCAAGGGGGAUUCCAUAUAUUUAGAUCUGACUGCUUGGCUACUUCUUCCUGGAGGAUUUGUUAUUAAAGGAACAUACAUUCUGGGAAUUCAAGAAAAGGCCUUUGUUGGCAGAUAUUAUGGCAACCAAAGAAGAUAUAAUUCAGACAUUUCUGAAUAAAGAGUGUAUAUGGAUUGUAAAUAAAGCUUCAUGUUGCAGAAAGAAGGUCUUUACAUGCACCACGUCCAUUUCACCAAGCCUGAAACACCACUUUGGUGUGCCAGACGAUGGGGCAUGGUGCCUAAACGUCACUGUGUUGAUUCUGAAGCCUAAACAAUCUCCAUUUUCUGUUACAGUGUUUAUAAAUGGGAAACCCAUACUCUGCUCCAAUUCACAGUUAAUUUCUAUCCAGAAGGUAUCUGGCAGAGAGCAUAUGGCUGUGAUAUAUUUUGGAAAAUUUACAGGGAAGUCAGCCAUUCCAGUACCUAUGGAUCCUACAAUUCUAGAUCCUGGUUCUGACAGCCCACACAUUUUGUGUUCAGAUGUAAUGGAGUCCUCCACGUUGGUUGACCUGCCAGUUGUUGGUUCAAGUAAGCAAGUAGGAUAUACUGCCUGGCUUGCGAAUAACAGUAUCUAUGAAUACAUGUUGAGUACAGAACAUCAGAUGAUGUGUCCGUCCCUACCAGUGUUUCCCUCCCUGUCUAAGAUCCUCAAUAUUAUGACGUCCUGCACAAGUCCAACCUGUAAAAAAUGUGCAGGAUAUCGGAGGCACUGUAAGGUCUGCAGUGGUUAUACUGAUGCUACUGGAGAUGGGUAUUCGCCUUCAUGUCCCUGCACAACAUCAUGCGCUCUCAAACCAGGUGACAUCAUCCCCAUAACUGGACACCAUACUUUGCUGCCAUUGUUGUUUGAUCCUGUCAAUGCCCACAGUGUCACACGGCUCAGAAUCACCCCUACCAGUUCACCUCAGCCCUUGGAUCAAAUUAUUACUGGUAUCACCGAGUCAGGGGAGAGUGUUCCAAUUACCCUGGAGGCGUGGAAACUCGUGAGGCUAUCUGACCUUUACUCCCAUCUCUAUAUUAUAUCAUGUAAGGCACUUAAAUCACACUUACAUUCUUGUUGAAGCAUGUGGCACACAUCAAGGUGCUGGAUUUUUUCCCAGGAUGUGAGUACAGGAUCACCCCAUUUUCCUUUUUAAUGUCAAUAUUCUUUCUUGGGAACCAGGCCAGCAGAAUGUUUGAGAUUUCCAGGAAAACUGCCAAGGACACAUGUUUUUGGUGGGCUACGUAGCCAAUAUGUAAAUCAUCCACUGAUGUCAGAAGCAUGCUUAUGAUUGCUGUCACAAUCCAGGUUUUGCCAUGGCGCCGGGGAAUCAAAAAGGCUGGUGAUUUUUGCAAAAAUGUUAACAAGUCUGUGUUGUCAAAAUAUAACAUGUCUAAUAAAAAUUUGAAUUCAUCAAAA
rnacentral:tmRNA from 1 species